UUACAAAUGGAGGCUCUGAUACCAUGUAAAUGUGAUUCAAACUUGUAUAUUUAUUGAUUCUAUACUGGUAUAUAUAUAUACAGAUGCUGAGGAGAUAUCAUAUUACACAAUAUCAUGAUAGUUACAUGAUUUGAGAAUCAUCCAUUUGAAUACAUUUGAAUAAGUCAGCUUAUACCAAUAACUAACUGCAGCUACCAUAACACGCCCCCACAAUUCUAACCCGGGAGGGUUUGAAUUGUUAGUUGAUGUGUGAGUUGGUGAUGACGAUUUUUGGACAGCCCUUUGGUAAGAAUAUCAGCUAACUGGUCUUUGCUGGAGAUGAAACGCACAUCCAGAAGACCCUAAAGAACCAUAUCUCGAACAAAAUGAAACUCAACUUCAAUGUAUUUCAUGCGAUUAUGAAGCACUGGAUUGGCGGUGAGGUAGGUAGCCCCCACAUUGUCGCACCAUAAAACAGGGGUAUCCGUUGGUGUCAUGGAAAUCUCACACAGUAAAGACAUGAGCCACGUUACUUCAGUGGCAGCAGCGCCAAUAGCGAGAUACUCAGCUUCAGUUGAACUACGAGCAACAGUUCUUUGCUUACGCCAUGACCAAGAAAUGAGAUUGGGACCAAGGAACAUGGCAAAACCAGUCACAGAUUUCCUAUCAGAUUUGUCACAGGCCCAAUCUGAAUCGGUAUAGAUAUGAAGCUGAGGAUUUGUGGAUUUGCAAAUCACCAAGCCAUGAUGCUCUGUUAAUUUUAAAUAUCGCAAUAUCCGUUUCAAGGCCUGCCAAUGAGAAAUUGAUGGACAAUGCAGUGAUUGAGACACCUGAUGAACAGCAAACGAAACAUCAGGUCUGGUGAGCUGAAGAUAUUGCAAAAUGCCUACCAAAGGACGAUAAAGAGAAGGGUCAGGAGCUGGUUCAGAUGAUAGGGGUGGUGAUUUAUCAUGUGGAACAGCAGGCGUAGAUAUGGUAUUACAAGAAGACAUUUGUGCUUUUUCAAGCAAUUCACCAAUAUAUUUACUCUGUGACAAAUGGAGGCCAUUAGCAAUAGAAUUAACCUCUAUUCCCAAAAAAUAAUCAGGAGGGCCAAGGUCUCGUAGCAUUAUUUGGUGGCCAAGUGAAGUAACAAUCUGCUGUAGCAUCGCAUUACUGGUCCCAGUUAGGAUUAUAUCAUCAACAUAAACUAAGCAAAACAUAUGAAUACCAGCUUUGGUGAUAAUAUAGUAAAGAAGAGCCAGCUGCCGAGACAUGAAAACCAAUAUCUAAUAAAACAGAUACCAACUUCUUAUACCAUUGCGGCGGAGCCUGGCGUAAACCGUACAAAGAACGCUGCAAUUUGCAAACAAAAUUAGGCUUCUCUUUAUCCACAAAGCCAGGCGGCUGUUCCAUAUAAACAGGAACGUCAACAUCUCCAUGCAGGAAAGCGUUGGAGACGUCCAGCUGACGAAUGGACCAAGAAUGAGAUACAGCAAUGGAUAAAAUGAGUCGUAUUGUCGCUAGUUUGACCACUGGAGAGAACGUCUCUUGGAAAUCUAUACCCGGCGUUGAUUGUAGCCCUUGGCCACCAAUCUCGCUUUGUAUUUGUCCAAUGAACCAUCCGAGCGUUGCUUAAUCCGAAAGAUCCACUUGCAACCGAUUGUGUUUGAGUACUAUCCCGAGACACUAAUUCCCAAGUCCCCGUCUUUAAUAGAGCAUUGAUUUCCAACUCCAUAGCUUGCCUCCAUUCACGUUGGAGCAAAGCUUUUGAAUAGCACGUUGGUGCGACUGGAAGAGAUGCAGGCGCUGUAUAUGUCUUAGGUUUGAGGUGACCAGUUUGUGCCCGUG
rnacentral:misc_RNA from 1 species